GUGGGACUCAAGGCGUCUCAGACACCUGAAAUAAGCAAGGUUUGAUAAUAAGCAGUGGAGAAACGGAGAUCUCCUGGGUUCACGUGAGCCACUGGGUUUGAGAGCUUAUGCAGAAUCGGGACCCCUUCUGGGGGUGCCUUCCACCAGUGAAGUCGGCCGCAGCCUGCUGACCCCGGGACCUGGACUGUGCAGCAGAGAGGAGGAGGCGAUGUAGAUCCGAGGCCCGACACUGGUACGAUGUGGAAACAAGGAAUUCUUCUCUCACCUUCAGCAGAGAAAAAAAGAUUGUCCUCAGUACCUGGAAUAUGGACUACACUGGGUCACACAGCUCCCAGGAAGAUUAUCUGCCACAUGGGGACAUUACUAUUAGAAAUGAGGGAGAAGGCAGAGGAGGAAGCAACCACCAUCCUGCUGUCACUGUUGCCAAAACGUAGCCGGAUAGUUCCUCCUGUUUUCCAGUCUAGCAUUCUGGACGACUCUUUAAUCUUCUUCUUUCUAACCUCAAGUUAAAAAGUAUUCUGAAGGUGAAGAGAAAAAAAAAGUAUGAAAGUUCCCAGGACAGAUCCAGCCCUUAUGCUCUUCACAGUCUGCCCACUCUUGGCUUUGAGGCCUUUACUCCAACUACAGCACCUGUCGCUCCCGCACAUGCCCUGUGGUUGCCUGCUUUGUUCACUCGGUGCGCUCCCAGUGCCCAGCCCCCACCCUCUGCCCAGCACCAGAAGGGCACAGCAUUCUUGAGGGGCUGGCUCAAGUGCCAUCUCUUCUGGGACGUGGGCAGAGCUUGUCACUCCCUCCUCAGCCACUCGUCCACUACCUGGUUUGUCAUAUGGUAGGAAAGUCAGUGUUUUGAUGACUGUGUCCCCUGAUCACUUGUGAACUAAAUAAGGGUAUGGAAUGUGUUUAUGCUCCUCCUAUAGUGGAUGGCAUGAAUUAGGUGUUCAGAAAUCAUUUGUACUGAAUGAGUGAAUGAAUGGGUGGGUGAAAAGCUAAGUGAAUUAAACAGUAAGGGUAAAACAGGCAAGGGCUCUCUCCAUUUCCACCUGAGUGAAACAUUUCUAAAUAGGGCAAGGAUACCAUUUAGCACUCUGUAGAUUCUUCCAUGGCCUAAAUUAUACUUUGAGCAUAAGAUGAGAAGUUUUGAAUUUAGUUGUAGAGGAAUCUGGUAACCAAUAGGACAGAAAGAGUCCAAAGGGAUAAAUAGCACCAAUGGCACACUGCUACCUCACUGGGGAACAGAGCAAAUUUGCUGCCUUAACAGAGCAGACUUUUCUGCUGUGUGUAUGUGUGUGUGUGUGUGUGUGUGUGUGUGUGUGUGUGUGUAGGGGGUGCAGGGAGUGGACAUGCACACAUGAAGGACCCAUGCAUAUGUGAGGGAAACAUGUACAGAUGGAGUAGGAGGCGGGUCAUGAAUGAGAAGCGUAGAGCACACGGAGGUGGAUUUGAGUACCUAGAGUUAAUAACAGACUACCCACAAAUAUAGAAAGCACUUUCACACUGAAAACUGUCAUAACAAAAAUCUCAAAAUUAAAGAAAGUUUGCAGAUUUCUAGAAAUAACUUUAACCUCAGUCAUUUAAAAAAAUAAAAAUGAGUGCUUAUGAUUGCAACAUACAACAUUAUCUCACUCUUCUCCAUAUUAUCAACUUUAUUUCUUCAUAUGCUUUCAUUUUUUUUAAAUGCCAAAUUUUUGUCUCCCACAUGAAAGGCAGGGAGAACCCCUCGCUGUCUGGCUGGGCUGAGUUCUGUCUUCCUGGCACGAGGGGGCCAAGUGCUCAGCACUAACCGGAACCAGACUUCAUUAAGGCGGUUCUGGCAGCAAACAGGAAACAAAAUGUGCUGAUAUAAUGCUCUGGGAGAAGUGACUCUAAGAAGUCAGCACUUCCCAGGUCUACUGAAUUCCACAGUAUAGGAAAUCUGUCUAUCUGCAAUUUGUAAUUUCAUGUACAAGUGUGUAGUUAUAAUUUCAUUUACAAAGUGAACCACCAUCAUUAACAUAGAUCAUUCUGUCAAAUAGGAUUGUCGAUGAUGCCACCAUGCUGUGGUGCAUAAAAAUUCAUUAGGUCUACUUUAUACUAACAAAUAGUUUUACUAUUAGGCCUGGUUUCUAAUGAAAAAAUGGGAGGUUAAAGAUUAUUUCUUCACCAAAAAAGCAUUUUCAUCAUUUUUUUCUCUAAAAUUAUUUGAAUAGCUGCCUAAAUUCUUAAAGUCUCCCUGUAUGUGUAACUAUAGAUAAAAAUGUGCUUUGUCUGAAAAUAAAAUGCUUUCAAAAGCAUUUUUUUUUUUUGCUUUCUAAAUGAAGGCAAGAAAGAAAAAAAAACUAUGUUUUGUGGGAAGAAUGUUUCAAGUUUAAUUCAAUUACAGAAUCUCAUGAUUCAAAGGAACUUGAGAGAUCAUCUGAUAGAAGUCUUCCCUGAAUUAUUGAAUCCCAGUCCAAGUGGGCAUCAGCCACUAGGCGGCUCUUCGAAUGACAAGAAAAACAAGAUAGGGCAUCUCAUUUGUUUCCUGAAUGUUCUCAUUGUUUAAAGUUUUGAGUUUAAUCUGCCUCCUUAAAAUUCAGGUCUAGUUCUAUAUAUUGGAGCUACACAAAACUUCCUCUUUUACAUAUCAGCUUAACCCACCACCUUCAGCCUUGAGUGGAAUUAAAGUUGCUGAGGGUGUGCUUUUAAGCAGUCAUAUCCUACCUACAUGAUAAUAUCCCUUUUUGAGAAAAUUAGGGCAAGUUCAUGGUCAGCACCAAUAAGCCAUUGAGAACUUCUAAGGCUGCCUCAUCCAACUGGGUGGCCAUUAGCCAAAUGUGGUUGUUAGCACUUGAAACAUGGCAGGUCUAAACUGAGAUGUGCUGUAUGUGUAAAGUAUGCAGCAGAUCUUGAAGACUUGUAUGGAAUAAAAGGAAAAUAUUUCACUAAUAUCUCAUAUUGAUUAUAUGUUGAGAAGUAAUACAUUGAAUAAAACAUGUUUAUUAAAGUUAAUUUCACUAGUUUUUAAAACCGUUUUUAAUGUAGUUACUAGAGAAUUUAAAAUCAUAGAUUGUCCAGUCAUACUUUCACCAUAAAACUUACUGCAGUUUGUACCAAUGUUACCGUGUGUGCGCAUGCGUGCAUGGAAUGUGCAUGUUUAUAUAUUCAUCUGUCUGAUAUUUGUAUCUCUUGUCAAGUAGGUGCUUCAUGCAGAAGGGGACUCCACCUCAUUCAUUUUUUAUUCUCAAUACUUACCACAGUACCUAGCACUCCGUAGCUAUAAAAUAAUUUUGUUGAAUGUUUCAACAAACGGAGCAUAUCUAGGGCCAAUUUCAGCAUCAUUAGAGUCCCCAAACAUGCCAUUCUGAGUUCUGAGGAUUCAACUGAGAAGCAAUAUAAAAAUUUGAGAUUUGAGUGGACAUUAGUGAGGAUGAAGCCAAGACAGGCUAC